rnacentral:sRNA from 1 species
AAAGCCAUUUGUGUCGGCGACGUGGGCGAGUACGUUGUUGGCGUGAAUGACGUCGGCAACGGCGCCCUCUGCACGAAGCGUUUCGGCGAGAUCUCGAGUGAAAAAGGUGCAGCGCGUUUGCACGCCUA